UUUCCCAUUCCGCAAGGAAGUAAGAUCCCUGAAAGAUGAUCAGGUUGAUAGGUCUGAGGUGGAAGUGUGGCGACACAUGGAGCUGACAGAUACUAAUCGAUCGAGGACUUAACCAAUUU
rnacentral:rRNA from 1 species